ensembl:lncRNA
GCCAAAUAUGGUCAGGCUUGUGUCGUGAACUUUGAACAACCUUCUAAACCGGUGCAGAGAUCGUGACCCAUAAGACCCUACCCGGGGGCAGGGCUUUAGUGGAGGCUUCGCACGGCCAAUAGAAAGAAGCCUGGCUGUGUCCGUGUGCACGCUACGUGCCAGAUGCAGAGUUGCAGGCUGGGUCGGGGGGCGGGGAGGUUUCUGUGACCUCUGCUUGUUGUUUCGGUUCUUCUUCUGUGACCUUGCAGGUUUGCCGUUUGACUCGGGGUGUCGACUGACUGCUGUCAGUCGGGAUUUCCUGAGGGGUCACUUUUGGAGAGGUGUCAUGGAGAAGAUGUGGAAAGGCUGAUUACUAUGGAGCACAGCGUGACAGUGAGGCCAUUGCUGCAGAGUCAGCUACCUCAUCCUCCACAAGUUCCAGCGGCGCCAAGCUAAGCUAGCCCAGGUGGUGGCCGAGCUCCAGGAGCAAGAGGGAAGAGGGAGGAGGCUGGCCCGGGAGAAAGCCCAGAGAGAGUCCCUGGAGCUGGGUGAAGCAAGAGUGAAGCAGGAGGGAGCCCCCCCUGCCUGGAGCUCGGACGACAAGUGGAUGCGACCGAGGAGCUGAUGGGAGAAGAGCUGGGGACGAGGAAGGAGGACAGAGAGAGAGAGAGGUCUGAGGGAGGAGUGGGCAAGGAGGGAGGAGAGGAGCAGAAGAGAGAUGGGAGAAGGCUUUGAGACAAUAAGAUAUUAAACAGGAGUUUCUUGUAUUUCUUUCCAUUUCUUGGGAAGAAAUUGAAAUAUCAAAGCUCUUUCUUGAAAAGAAAUGGAAAGGCGGCAGAGUGAGGAACUGGCGGCAUGUUGGGAAGAGAAAGAGAGAAAGUUCUGAGCCACGAGCUCCUAAACACCAAUAUCGAGUUGGAUGGGCUGAGGAAAUAUCUCAAACAGCUGGAAGGAAGGGAGCAGAGGAGGCAUGGAGAGGAGCUGUCACAACAGCGGCAGGCGGGGAUGCACCAACACCGAGGAGAUCCUUCCAGCAGGAGGACAAAGAGGGGGAAGAGCUGGGCCUCUGGCAGCAGCUCCAGCGGGACAGGAGGAGCUGAGGGGGAGGAGCCGGGAGGAGAAGGAGGAGCCGGGAGGAGGAGGAGGAGCCGGGAGGAGGAGGAGGAGACGCGGCGUGAGCUGGAGCACUCCCGACGCGAGGAGGCGCUGGAGCUCAGCUGCGUCAAGGCAUACCUCCGGCUGCUGACUGACGAGAACGCAGCACUGCAGGAGGAGCAGGGGGCGCUCCUGAGGAGGAGGGAGUGCCCAGAGCGAGGCCAUCUGACCGCCGCGCUAACCCAGGCGUGAGAUGAGCUCCUGCAGGGCCGGCGGCACACCCCUGCCCCCCGCCUGCUCCCCUCGAGACCCUGGCACACCCCGGAGAGGCCGGGGUCUCUGGCAGUGACUGAGUGAUUCCUCUUCCGACACCAGCCCUCACGCAACUAUCGCAGUCAUGUGAUGUCACUGAAGGGCAUCUGUGGUCCUUGCUGCCAGUGGGACAAUGGCCGCGUGUGA